AGGCCACUGCUAUCGGAGUUCGAUUAAGCCAUGCGAGUCGAGAGGUGCAAGACCUCGGCAUACUGCUCAGUAACACGUGGACAAUCUACCCUAAGGUGGGGGAUAACCCCGGGAAACUGGGGAUAAUACCCCAUAGACUAUAGAUGCUGGAAUGCUUUGUAGUUGAAAGGUCAGCCGCCAUAGGAUGGGUCUGCGGCCGAUUAGGUAGUUGUUGGGGUAACGGCCCAACAAGCCUGUAAUCGGUACGGGUUGUGGGAGCAAGAGCCCGGAGAUGGAUUCUGAGACACGAAUCCAGGCCCUACGGGGCGCAGCAGGCGCGAAAACUCUACAAUGCGGGAAACCGUGAUAAGGGAACUCCGAGUGCCCGUUAAAUCGGGCUGUCCAUCAGUUUAAAAAACUGGUGAAGAAAGGGCCGGGCAAGACCGGUGCCAGCCGCCGCGGUAAUACCGGCGGCUCGAGUGGUGGCCACUAUUACUGGGCUUAAAGCGUUCGUAGCUGGUUUGUUAAGUCUCUGGGGAAAUCUUCCGGCUUAACCGGAAGGCGUCUCAGGGAUACUGGCAGACUAGGGACCGGAAGAGGUGAGGGGUACUCCAGGGGUAGGAGUGAAAUCCUGUAAUCCUUGGGGGACCACCUGUGGCGAAGGCGCCUCACCAGGACGGCUCCGACAGUGAGGGACGAAAGCUGGGGGAGCAAACCGGAUUA
rnacentral:rRNA from 1 species